UGGAACACAGAGACAACGCCCCAGCCUUGGUCGCAUCAUUGAGGGACAGUACAUUCCCCUGUACCUGCUCAAUCAGGCUGAAGUAGCACCAGCUGUGCGGCCAGGUUGGACCUGGCCGCACAGCUUUCUUAAUUCUGCCUCAUUCAGGUCUAGCUCUCCUCUGUGUCAAGGCAUGUGCAUCAGGCGGCAAACCUAUGACUUAUAAAGAAGUGUCCUAUUUAAAGGACUGAGAGCCCCGGAUGGGAGAUAUUUAUGUUUGUUAAUGGACACUUUAAGUUUGAUACUUCCACACCCUGCCCUUCCUACAAAGACGUGUGCAAUAUAUGCCCUUUUUGGCUUUCUGCAAACCCAAUCAUGUGUCUUAGUGAGAAUCAGGUUCCACCUUACGUAUUUUGCUCAUUUUAAGCAUACGCUGUGCAUUGGUUUCAAAAACACAUCACGAAGCUCGCUUUUUUUCAACUACAUCACUGAAUACUGCAGACUUCAUGAGAGCCAAUAAACAUGAUAAAACAUAA